rnacentral:lncRNA from 1 species
UUAAAAACAAUAUCUAAUUAAUAUAUUAUAUAUCUUUUGGGGAUAUAUUGGGAACAAUAUAUCAUAUUGGGAACUUUAAUGGCGUAAAGUUGGUAGCGCUCUAGCGGUGAACCUAAGAAAUAACUUGACGUCUGGCUUUUGGCUAGCGGAAAAGGAUUGGAAAUUGGCACUUAAGGUUGGAGUGUGGUUAAGGAAAGGGCGAAGUUCCUCGUAUGAUUUACGUUUUAAAAAGUUUCAGUGUUCAAUAUUUUGUAUAUAUUUAAAUAUAUGAUAAUUACAUUAUUGAAAGUUUGGUGAACCAAGGAGACUAAAAUUACAGAUGUGUUUAUGAGGAUUCUUCGCCCUUCCAUGAAGCUUAAAUAAGACUCUCAGAACACCGAGAGGAACCACCUCCAACCCUCUGAAGUCACAAGAGGCAAGCCUAAGGUCUCCAGUCUCCAGUUUUUAUAAGGAAGUUUUGCACCUCCAGGAGGGCAACUUAGCUGGCAGUUAGCACCACCUUUGUGGUAACUUCACCGAUAAGGGUUUCGGUGUACGCUGUGAGGAACACUCUUGGGAGCCAUAUCUGGUCUAGUGGGUUUGUUUGGGAACAUAUAUAUUUACAGUGCAAUAGUUAUUCGCCGAUACCAUUUUACACAUUUUUAUUAAUAUCCAGAACAUUUACCUGAUUCACUGUCAUAUACCGUGACUAUAUUUAUUUUGUAUUAAUUUUUUU